rnacentral:rRNA from 1 species
ACUCAAAUGAAUUGACGGGGACCCGCACAAGCGGUGGAGCAUGUGGAUUAAUUCGAUACUAACCGAAGAACCUUACCCAGGUUUGACAUCGAUCGUAAGCCCAAGAGAUUGGGCCCUCUCCCACAAGGAGACGUGAAGACACUUGUUGCAUGGCUGUCGUCAGCUCGUGCCGUGAGGUGUACGGUUAAGUCCGCCAACGAGCGCAACCCUCGGCCUGUGUUACCAGCAUGAAAGAUGGGGACUCACAGGUGACCGCCGGUGUAAGCCGGAGGAAGGUGGGGAUGAUGUCAAGUCAGCAUGGCAGUUACGCCUGGGGCUUCACACAUGCUACAAUGGGCGAAACAAAGGGAUGCAAUACCGCGAGGUGGAGCUAAUCCCAAAAAUACGCCCCCAGUUCAGAUUGCAGUCUGCAACUCGACUGCAUGAAGGCGGAAUCGCUAGUAAACGCAGGUCAGCUAUACUGCGUUGAAUACGUUCCCGGGUCUUGUACACACCGCCCGU